UACGGAGGGGACUAGCGUUAAUCGGAAUUACUGGGCGUAAAGCGCGCGUAGGUGGCUUGAUCAGCCGGUUGUGAAAGCCCCGGGCUCAACCUGGGAACGGCAUCCGGAACUGUCACGCUAGAGUACAGGAGAGGAAGGUAGAAUUCCCGGUGUAGCGGUGAAAUGCGUAGAUAUCGGGAGGAAUACCAGUGGCGAAGGCGGCCUUCUGGACUGAGACUGCCACUGAGGUGCGAAAGCGUGGGUAGCAAACAGG
rnacentral:misc_RNA from 1 species